UCUAUGAUGGGCGGAACAAGAUAGAGAGACUGUGCUGGCCGUUUGAAUAAGACAGCAUGUGCACGUCCCCUCGUCUUCGUUCGGUCUGUCGUAUACCCACACCUGUGCACCAAUUGUAGAUCUUUCAAUGUUAAUGUUGAUGGAAGUCCUUUAUCUCGUCCGACGAGUUAGCUUAGUUACUAGGCAGUCUUUCGAAAGAGAGGCUGGCGAAAGCAAAGCUAGAGGAUCAAAGUUGAUGUCGAUGUCGACGGGUAAAUCCCUGAUCUGAUCAAGCUUAGUUACUAGGCAGUCUUUGAAAAGAGGCUGGCGAAAGCAAGCAAGAAAGGACAGGAUAAAAGUCAAUGUCGAUGUCGAUGGUAAGUCCUUGAUCUCGUCAAGCUUAGUUACUAGGCAGUCCUUUGAAAAAGAGACUGGCGAAAGCAAGCAGGAAAAGAGGAGGAUGAAAGUUAAUGUUGAUGUAGAGGGGUAGAAUCAAAGUUAAUGUUAAUGGAAGUCCUUGAUGAGUUAGCUUAGUUACUAGGCAGUCUUUCGAAAGAGAGGCUGGCGAAAGCAAGCAAGCAGAGGAUGAAAGUUAAUGUUGAUGCUGAUGAUAUCAAUGGAUCUAUGUUUUCAUCAUCACACACUAUUGUAUGGCCAGAAUGUUUAUAAAUAAAAUACAACUUUCAGCAAUGGAUCUCUUGGUUCUCGCAUCGAUGAAGAACGCAGCGAAUUGCGAUAAGUAAUGUGAAUUGCAGAUUUCCAGUGAAUCAUCGAAUCUUUGAACGCAUCUUGCGCUCCUUGGUAUUCCGAGGAGCAUGCCUGUUUGAGUGUCAUUUAAUUAUCAACCAUCGUUCUUUAGGGAAUGAUGGCUUGGAGUUGGGGGUUGCUGGCGACGACCUGGUUGUCAGCUCUCCUUAAAAGCAUUAGCGAUCGAAGUCUUUCGACAUGCACGGCCAUUGACGUGAUAAUGAUCGUCGUGGCUGGAGUGUCUUUCCUAGACUAUGCUAGAUAGAUCGCUUCUAAUAGACAAGAUCCUUGAUCUUCAUCAAGCUUAGCUACUAGGCAGUCUUUGAAAAGAGGCUGGCGAACACAAGCUAUGGAAGUCAAUGUUGACGAAAUAUAAUGAC
rnacentral:rRNA from 1 species